rnacentral:lncRNA from 1 species
GCAGUCCUUCCGGAUCCGAUUUGAGCGACUCCAGCUUGUACGGUAACGAUUGUUCUUCCCUUGUUUACUAUCCCCUAGCUCGGACGGCGUCCUUAAUCCCACCGACUCUUUCGAUGGAUGUUUCGUCCUCCAUAAGGGAUCCCCUCACCUCCCUGAGUCUAUCGUUUUCGGGAUCAGACCUCCCUGAAACACUGGACGCCGGAUCUGCUCUGGGGUCGUGUGCUCUCCCAGCAGCGCUUGUAGUUGCAUCACCACCAAAUGCUGUGACGGUGGAGCAGCAAGCUCCGAUUCUGCAAGAGAAAGCUGAAGUUGGGUUGGAGAAGCAGA